ACUCCUACGGGAGGCAGCAGUGGGAGUAUUGCAUCAAUGGGAACGGACUGNAGCCAUGCCGCGUGUGUGAAGAAGGCCUUCGGGUUGUAAAGCACUUUCAGUAGGGAGGAAGGUAGUGUAGUUAACACCUGCACUAUUUGACGUUACCUACAGAAGAAGCACCGGCUAACUCCGUGCCAGCAGCCGCGGUAAUACGGAGGGUGCGAGCGUUAAUCGGAAUUACUGGGCGUAAAGCGCAUGCAGGCGGCCUGUUAAGUCAGAUGUGAAAGCCGGGCUAGCUACGAUGAGCAUUUGAACUGGCAGACUAGAGUACUGUAGAGGGNGGAGAAUUUCAGGUGUAGCGGUGAAAUGCGUAGAGAUCUGAAGGAAUACCGGUGGCGAAGGCGGCCC
rnacentral:rRNA from 1 species